UACAGAGGGUGCGAGCGUUGUCCGGAAUCACUGGGCGUAAAGGGCGCGUAGGCGGCUUGAUAAGUCGGGGGUGAAAUCUUGCGGCUCAACUGCAAGGCUGCCUCCUAAACUGUCAGGCUUGAGCACAGUAGAGGCAGGUGGAAUUCCCGGUGUAGCGGUGGAAUGCGUAGAGAUCGGGAAGAACAUCGGUGGCGAAGGCGGCCUGCUGGGCUGUUGCUGACGCUGAGGCGCGACAGCGUGGGGAGCAAACAGG
rnacentral:rRNA from 1 species